CGGAUUGUAGUCUGCAACCCGACUACAUGAAGCUGGAAUCGCUAGUAAUCGCGGAUCAGAAUGCCGCGGUGAAUACGUUCCCGGGUCUUGUACACACCGCCCGUCACACCAUGGGAGUCGGAAAUGCCCGAAGCCAGUGACCCAACCUUAGGGAGGGAGCUGUCGAAGGUGGAGCCGGUAACUGGGGUGAAGUCGUAACAAGGUAGC
rnacentral:rRNA from 1 species